GACGAACGCUGGCGGCGUGCUUAACACAUGCAAGUCGAACGGAAAGGCCCUGCUUGCUGGGUACUCGAGUGGCGAACGGGUGAGUAACACGUGGGAGUUCUGCUCUGCACUUCGGGUUAAGCCUGGGAAACGGGGUUUAUUACCGGAUAGGAGCGAUUGUGAGUGUGGUGGUUGGUAGGAUUUUUCGGUGUAGGAUGAGCUGGUGGCCUAUUAGCUUGUUGGUGGGGUAAUGGCCUACCAAGGCGGCGACGGGUAGCCGGCCUGAGAGGGUGGACCGCCAUCCUGGGACUGAGGGGCGGCCCAAGUGCCUACUGGAGGCAGCAGGGGGGAAUAUUGCACAAGCGGCGCAAGGCGGGUGCAGCGACGCCGCGGAGGGGAUGACGGCCUUCGGGGUGUAAAAUCCCUGUGCUAUGGACGAAGCCUGUUGUGACGGUACCUAGAGAAGAAGCACCGGCUAACUACGUG
rnacentral:rRNA from 1 species